AACGAACGCUGGCGGCAGGCCUAACACAUGCAAGUCGAGCGAGGACUACGGUCCUAGCGGCGGACGGGUGAGUAACGCGUGGGAACGUGCCCUUUGCCUCGGAAUAGCCCUGGGAAACUGGGAGUAAUACCGGAUGAGCCCUUUGGGGGAAAGAUUUAUCGGCGAAGGAUCGGCCCGCGUUGGAUUAGGUAGUUGGUGGGGUAAUGGCCUACCAAGCCGACGAUCCAUAGCUGGUUUGAGAGGAUGAUCAGCCACACUGGGACUGAGACACGGCCCAGACUCCUACGGGAAGCAGCAGUGGGGAAUCUUAGACAAUGGGGGAAACCCUGAUCUAGCCAUGCCGCGUGAGCGAUGAAGGCCUUAGGGUUGUAAAGCUCUUUCAGCUGGGAAGAUAAUGACGGUACCAGCAGAAGAAGCCCCGGCUAACUCCGUG
rnacentral:rRNA from 1 species